rnacentral:sRNA from 1 species
AUGAUUAACAGUUCUUUAAGCAUGCUCUUUUCUUAUUUAGAAAAGUAUUUCUAUGUUGCAGAUGAACUGUCUCAUUGUGUUGAGCCUGAGCUGUCUCAGGUGCCAGGUGGCAGUUCUAGAGACCAUCAGCAAGGUAAGCCCCCUCCUCUCCCGGCUCUAAAAGCUAAGACAUCUUCACGUUCUGGUCCAUAUGCCACUGAGAUAAAGAAGUCAACUGAUGAUUCCAUAUUUAAAGUUCUAGACUGGUUUAACAGAAGUUCUUAUUCAGAUGACAAUAAGUCAUUCCUCCAACAUCCCCGAGGAAUAGAGUCCAAAGAAAAAACAGACUCAAAAUCACAGGUUGCUAUUGACUUGGUGACAGAUGACACUACUUUAAGAGAAAAUGGCUCAAAGACCCUAUUAUCCAGCAAAAUUGAAUUGAAGCCUGUGAGAUCUGACUCAGCAUUCCAAGUAGAGGGAGAUAUGCUGGUUUCUGAAAGUUGCCAAGAUAAUGUGAAUAUCAAAUCCAAAUUCAUGAAUUUGUCCCAACAAGGCACCCCAAAGGAAGGCCCAGGUAUAUUGCAACCAUUUGAAAGCUAUGGCACCCCAAGUCAAGGGAGUAAAAAUAUGGACUAUAGCCAAGAUUCAAAAAGCACAGGAAAAGGGAAUGGGGUAUCUCCUUCAAAUAGUAACUAUUCCUACAGUGUUCUCAAGGAAUCUGAUGCAGAAAACCAAGUUCCAUGCAACACUAAGAAUAUUGGCAACUUGGGUGAAGAAGAACCCAAGUUUCAUGCUCAUGAAGAAAAUAGAGGGCACUCAGAAGUGAAUUUUGACUCUUCAACAAUUGUCAAAGAACCAGGUUUGAAAGAUAACAUGAAAGCAGAGAGAAAGUGCAAAGUAGGAAAUACCUAUGUCCUGAAAGCUUCCUUAGAGCCAGAGAAUAUUAAGUCAACACCUGGGGUUGCCAACAAUGGCUGUCCUUGGAAGAAGCCUGAGGUCCAAUUCCAGCAAGAAGCUGGUGAGGUUCCCAAGAACCAAGUGCAGAGAGAGAAAUACAAAAGAGUGAAUGACAGAAUAUCCUUUUGGGAAGGAGAGAAAGCUGCUGCUAAGAUAACUCAUAAAGAACCCACAUCUUCAUGUAGCCAGGAACAAUCUUCUGCUAAAGCAUAUCAGCCUGUGAAGAAGUCACAGGGUGUAUCAUCCAUGGACAGUUUAUCUACAGACGAGAGUGAAUAUAAUCAGGUCAUUCCCAAACGAGUGGUCCUAGAUGAGGAUGAUCAAGCAUCCCAGCUCUCCAAUUCUUAUUCCUCAAAUAAAUCUAAAGAGACCAAGCCACAAAUAGCAGGUCCAUCCAGAAACUAUCUUUCAGCUGAGCAAUCAGAUAAAGUGUCUCUGUUUCAGAAUAAGAAAAAUGAGCCUAUAAAAAGAUCACAAGUGGCAGACAGUUUGCCUUCUAGAAGAAACAUUACUUUACCAGCACUGCAACAUCCCUCAAAUGUUGGGAGUGAACGACGUGCUCCUUUGGAGAAAGACAGACCUCUAAUUCGUGAAUCAAAUGCCAACUUUAAAGUUAUGUCCCUAAAAGAAAGAAUGGAUGAACCCAAUGCAGAACAGGUCUAUAAUCUCUCUCAGUUUGAGAAUUUGAGAAAGUUUUGGAACUUAGAAGCUAAUUCAAACAGUAAGGAUAAUAACAAGAAUAUUACCACAACAAGCCAAAAAAAUUCUGUGCCUUUUAAUAGGCAGAAACACGAGGAAUUCAGCGACAUUAAAUUAUCAGGUAAAAAUACCCAUGAAGCAGAGGUGCUUCUAAGCCCAAAAAAAGUUAUGGCAAGAGAGGAAAUGGAGAAAUUAAAUUCCAAGGGCAUACUCCAGGUGCUACCAGAUGAAAUUGCAUUUCCUUUGAGUCCACUUAGAAAGUAUACUCAUCAGUUGCCAGGAAAUGAGUCAUCAAAGGAAAACGUGGAAAAGAAUAUGGAAGGGAUUGUUACUCCAGUGUUUAAGGAAGAAAAGGAUUACUCACACCAAGAGAUUCAAGAAUCCAUAGUAAAAACCAAUGUUUUGUCUAAAGACUGCAAAGACACUUUUAAUGACAGCUUGCAGAAACUGCUUUCAGAAGCCUCAACACCAGCAAUUCAACCCUCUGGUGGAAAAGUUCAUGGAAAACAAGUGCUUGAACCAAGUGUUUCUGAAAAUAGAACAUGGCUUCAAAAAACAGAUUUUGCUGAUACUGAGGAAGAAGUCAAAGGACCUGAGAAGAUCAUUAAUGAGCAUGCUGACAAAACAGUAGUUGAUCCAAAGGUUAAACAGAACUCUUUGAAUGCUAGUCUAGACAAACUCCUGAAGGAAGCAACUGGAACUUCACCCUCUCCCUUGCAAACCAAGUUGGCGCCCGUUAUCACUGGAACCCACUCUAAGCCGGAAGAGGGAAGAUUUUUUGGAAAAGGGAUAGAACAGAGUCACAAUACUUCAGCUGAUAAGAGAGAAAUACUAGCUCCUUUUCCAGUGAGAGAUGAAACUUUUGGAAAUACAGUUCUCCCCAAGAAAGCUGAAAGUGGUGAGUGCCAGCUAAGCACAGAGAAUUUGAUUCAGAUGGCUGCAGAAGAUUCUCAUCCAUUGGAUCCAACUUCCCAGCUUUCCAGAAAGGGUUCUUUUGGGGAUGUGGCCAACCCUCCCCAAGAUAUGCUUUUUCCCCAGGAUGCUCAUCUUUUUCCCCAGGCUAGGGUACACCCUUCUCAAACGGAAAUUUCGGAGACUGUAGAGAAAGUCAUUCUUCCACCCAGACCUGUAUUGAAUGAUGUAAAUGCUGCAUUACAGAAGCUGUGUAGAGAAGUAUGGUUAAGUUAUCCAGCUGGAAGGGAAGUAGGUCCUGGAGAAGUGAACCCAGAAUUUCCUGAAGCAGUACAGCCAGUAGGUAGCCCCCUAAAUCCUCCAGGAGUGAUAUCACCAUGGGCUACGAUGGACACCAUAGUUCCAGACAGGAAGGAUUUUUAUUCCUCCAAUGUAGUUCCUGAUAAAACUCAUGAAGUUGGAUCUUAUUUAGCUGCCCAAAUGUCUCUAUCAGACCAGACACUUAGCUCAUUUGCUUCCAUUGUUGCUCAAUAUGGCAAAGCCCUACCUCAGGAAGUGGAAGAAAUUGUGAGGGAAACAAUUAUUCAACCCAAAUCAGAGUUCCUCGAAUUCAGUGCUGGCUUCGAAAAACUACUGAAGGAAGCAACUGAAACCUUCCCCUCAAAAUAUGAAAGUGAUACAGGGAAUCUUUCUCCAUCAAAGUUAAUAGGUAGUACAAAGGAGCCCAGGCGAGCCACUUCUGAAUUCCAUCCUGAGGAAUUAAAAGAAACGGUAGAAAAGGCUGAGGCUCCAUUAAUAACUGAGAGUGCUUUUGAUGCUGGUUUUGAGAAACUUCUUAAAGAAAUAACUGAAGCUCCUCCUUAUCAGCCCCAGGUGUCAGUGAGAGAAGAAACUCAUGAGAAGGAGUCCUCACAGUCAGAGCAGACCAGGUUCUUGGGGACAGUGCCCCAUUUUUACAGGGCAGCCUCACAGACCUCUGAAAUGAAGGCUAAAAGUAAUGGUUUGGAAUCUCAAGUCAACCAAUGUGAUAAAAUGUUGGGAGGAGACGCACUUGUGACUGGUUUAUUGGUAGAUUUUUGUGGUUCCAGAAGUGGAGUUGAGAUCCCUGGAACCCCACAACUUUAUGUGGCUCAUGAAAUAGGGACCAUUAAAACUGUAAAUCCCCCAGAGGACAGGGACAGUGAAAGUGGGGUUGCAGGGGGACAAGGGACUUUUCAGGAACCUGGCUUUGGAGAGGCUUCUGAAGCAAUUAGUGUGUCCAGAAACAGGCAACCCAUUCCUCUCCUGAUGAACAAAGAAAACUCUACAAAAACAAGUAAAGUUGAAUUGAUUCUAGCAUCGCCAUAUAAGAAACAAGAGAAAGAGGAAGAAAAAGAAGGUUUCUCUGAGUCUGAUUUUUCAGAUGGAAACACCAGUUCUAAUGUGGAGAGCUGGAGAAAUCCUUCCAGUUCAGAAGAAGAACCCAGUCCUGUUUUGAAAACUUUGGAAAGGAGUGCCGCUAGGAAAAUGCCUUCCAAAAGUCUAGAAGACAUUUCAUCAGAUUCAUCAAAUCAAGCAAAAGUAGAUAAUCAGCCAGAAGAAUUAGUGCGUAGUGCUGAAGAUGUUUCCACAGUGCCUACACAACCUGAUAAUCCAUUUUCUCACUCUGACAAACUCAAAAGGAUGAGCAAGUCUGUUCCAGCAUUUCUCCAAGAUGAGAGUGAUGACAGAGAAACAGAUACAGCAUCAGAAAGCAGUUACCAGCUCAGCAGACACAAGAAGAGCCCGAGCUCUUUAACCAAUCUUAGCAGCUCCUCUGGCAUGACGUCCUUGUCUUCUGUGAGUGGCAGUGUGAUGAGUGUUUAUAGUGGAGACUUUGGCAAUCUGGAAGUUAAAGGAAAUAUUCAGUUUGCAAUUGAAUAUGUGGAGUCACUGAAGGAGUUGCAUGUUUUUGUGGCCCAGUGUAAGGACUUAGCAGCAGCGGAUGUAAAAAAACAGCGUUCAGACCCAUAUGUAAAGGCCUAUUUGUUACCAGACAAAGGCAAAAUGGGCAAGAAGAAAACACUCGUAGUGAAGAAAACCUUGAAUCCUGUGUAUAACGAAAUACUGCGGUAUAAAAUUGAAAAACAAAUCUUAAAGACACAGAAACUGAACCUGUCCGUUUGGCAUCGGGAUUCAUUUAAGCGCAAUAGUUUCCUAGGGGAGGUGGAACUUGAUUUGGAAACAUGGGACUGGGAUAACAAACAGAAUAAACAAUUGAGAUGGUACCCUCUGAAGCGGAAGACAGCACCAGUUGCCCUUGAAGCAGAAAACAGAGGUGACAUGAAACUAGCUCUCCAGUAUGUCCCAGAGCCAGUCCCUGGUAAAAAGCUUCCUACAACUGGAGAAGUGCACAUCUGGGUGAAGGAAUGCCUUGAUCUACCACUGCUAAGGGGAAGUCAUCUAAAUUCUUUUGUUAAAUGUACCAUCCUUCCAGAUACAAGUAGGAAAAGUCGCCAGAAGACAAGAGCUGUAGGGAAAACCACCAACCCUAUCUUCAACCACACUAUGGUGUAUGAUGGGUUCAGGCCUGAAGAUCUGAUGGAAGCCUGUGUAGAGCUUACUGUCUGGGACCAUUACAAAUUAACCAACCAAUUUUUGGGAGGUCUUCGGAUUGGCUUUGGAACAGGUAAAAGUUAUGGGACUGAAGUGGACUGGAUGGACUCUACUUCAGAGGAAGUUGCUCUCUGGGAGAAGAUGGUAAACUCCCCCAAUACUUGGAUUGAAGCAACACUGCCUCUCAGAAUGCUUUUGAUUGCCAAGAUUUCCAAAUGAGCCCAAAUUCCACUGGCUCCUCCACUGAAAACUACUAAACCGGUGGAAUCUGAUCUUGAAAAUCUCAGUAGGUGGACAAAUGUCCUCACUUUCUAUCCAUUGCACCUAAGGAAUACUACACAGCAUGUAAAAGUCAAUCUGCAUGUGCUUCUUUGAUUACAAGGCCCAAGGGAUUUAAAUAAUAACAAAAUGUGUAAUUUGUGACUCUAACAUUAAAUAAGAUAUUGGAACAAGCUAGGAAAACUGAAUUUCUGCUGCUGCUUCAAAGAAAAAACUGCCCCAGAGCAUUAAACAUGGGGUAUUGUUAACAAGCAAAAUGUUCUUGUUUGCCAUCAUGUGUUUCACACCACAAUUCUGUGCCACAGUUAAGAGGGUCUGGUACCCUUGCAGGACCUUUGUAGGUUGUGGGAAAAAGUCGCAGAAAGAUACUCAAAGUGGAGUGGGGAAUGGAGACAGAACAUCAGUGAUGAUAAAAAAAAAUGGACCUUAAGAAACUAUUUACUCUGUAAUCUCUAAUAAAAUAUGGAAUUCCAUAUUAGGGCAAUGAGACUGAAUUUACUGGUGUUUUUCUGCCUUGAGGAAACAGGCAGUUAAAACAAGCCUCAAAUGUAUUUUAGUGCCACCCACUGGCCAUAGGUAAAAUUCAGUUGUUGGCUUGUUUUGACUUAAUUCUAAAAUAGGUCUCAAGCCUGUAUUUUUAUGAGUUUAUUUUUUUUAAAACCCUGCAUAUAUAUGAUUGUUUUUCUUAUAACUUUACUAUAUGAAAGCAGCAUAAGAGUAGUCACAAACAUGUUUUGCAACAAAGUUUUAAUUAGAAUGUAAGUUGUUCAAUUAUACUGUGCUUCUUAUGUAUGUAAAAUUUUCAUAAAGUAUUUUCUAAAAACCCUUAGAAUAAAUUAUCAUUUGAUUUAAA